rnacentral:rRNA from 1 species
AAAUUGAAGAGUUUGAUCAUGGCUCAGAUUGAACGCUGGCGGCAGGCCUAACACAUGCAAGUCGAACGGUAGCACAGAGAGCUUGCUCUCGGGUGACGAGUGGCGGACGGGUGAGUAAUGUCUGGGAAACUGCCUGAUGGAGGGGGAUAACUACUGGAAACGGUGGCUAAUACCGCAUAACGUCGCAAGACCAAAGAGGGGGACCUUCGGGCCUCUUGCCAUCAGAUGUGCCCAGAUGGGAUUAGCUAGUUGGUGAGGUAACGGCUCACCAAGGCGACGA